AUGGGAACUCAGAAAAAAAGAAACAAUGAGUUGUUUCCUUCAGUAGCUGCUGUGGGCUGUGAUCGCAGAUUUGUGAACCGCUUUCCGUGCAUCCUCUCAAAUGUGGCUGCAGACUGCAGCGAUCUGUGGAGCAUCUAUGCCUGUCUGCCGGACUCGGAGGGAAUGCUGUGGCUGAGAUACGGGCAUCUACUGUAUUUUUUUAAAGCACCUCAGUUGAUUUCUAUGUGCAGCCGAAUUUGACAACUAUUGAGAAUUCCAUAUUUACUGAAUGAUUGCAUGAGUUUUGACAAUUCUUAAAAUUCUGCACUUACUGGAAAAUCUUCUGAACUUGGGGCGGAAUUAUCACCUAGGAGAUCCAUCUACCCUAGACUGAGGCUACCUGAGCUACUAGCGGCAGUGUGGCCCUAACUUCAGACCUGGAGUCACACGGAGAGCUUUUGCAAAUGCUGCCUCCCUGGCUCCCCUUCCAGGGAUUCUGACUCAGUAGGUCUGGGAGGAGGCCUGAAAUUGUGCCUGGUAAGAGACUUCCGGGUGAUUCAUUUUCAAGCUAAGUUUGAGAUCCACUGCCCUGGAGAAAGAGAAUUUGGGGAAAGACCUCACAGGCUUUCUGGGACAGCCUGGGAAAAUCCAGUGGAGAACUGUUCAUCUCACUUCCUUCUCUUUGUUCUGGUCUUCAAAAGCCCUGAACAACAGAUUCUCCCAAAUCAAAGGGACCUCAAAACCUCCAACAGUGGUCCCCAGUCCACAGUUCCUUAUAUGUAACCAACUGAAUGGUCCCCAUGUCUGCUACACAAACGUGUGAUAUAUUUUCAAUUUUCUUUUAUAUAUUUCUUAUUGCCCAAAGAGAAA
rnacentral:lncRNA from 1 species